rnacentral:lncRNA from 1 species
AAGCAGCUCUGAGCUGUGCUAUUGGGGCGCUUCUCGUAGGCAUCUUGAGCCCACUGGGGCAGAAAGCGGGGCUUCCAAGGUCUCUCUCAGGGAGCUCCCCGCUUCCCGCCCACACCCCAGCUGCGUCUGCUCCUCUGACUCCCAGGGCUGUGCCUGCAGCCUGCCUGCUCCCUGUGAGCCCGCCCUGGGAGCAGGGAUGCAGACGCCCUGAGGUUCUCGCGCUGCUGGGAGCCCUAGUGUGGGCGCAAGCUCCCUGCGAUCAGGGACGCAGCUUCCUCUGGAACGCACGCUCGGCCCCGCCCCCCCCCAUCCUGCAGACUGUGGGCACUUCCUAAGCUCUGCUGUGCCCCACAGCAGGGACUGUAACCACGGAUGAAGUCUGCCCGUUUCCGGGUUCUGAGGAUCGCCCUUGGACUGUGUACUGUCAGGAGAUGAGUUUUUAAUGAGAGGCCAAGCGUGCUUGAUUGCUGCAGUCUGUGAAGUUCCUGACACCAGCGAGCUGUCCCCUGGCUGCAGCAGGGAGGAUGGGGCGGAGCUUGCUAGGAUGGACACCUUGGGCCCUGCCCCCUUCCGGCUGCUGACUAGAACCUGCCUCUUACCUAGAUGCCCCUGCGAAUCACGCACACGGACCAGGACAAAACGAGGCCCCCGUGAGAACAAUGAGGACGCGGGACCCCGCGCGAGGCCCCCGUGGGAACAAUGAAGACGCGGGACCCCGCGCGAGGCCCCCGUGGGAACAACCACCAAGAAUCCCAAGAUGGUGACAAUGAAGCCGGGUGCUUCCGAUGGGGGGGGGGGGCAGCGUGUGGGACUGCACAGGUGCCACGGCCAUGACCUUGAGCACGGAAGGAAACAGAGCACCCUGGACAGGUCGUGCUAUCCAGUUCCCUGUGGGAGUUCUUAUUGUCAAGUCUUGUAAUUAAAAAGCUCCAACCUCUCACCCCUUGUGCAGUUUUUCUCCAUACGCAAAUAUAAAUAGUUUCGAAUGGCUGUAAUUACAGUGUAGUUCAUUGUUCCAAAACCACAAACCUGCGUGUGUCUUUACAGCCGUAGAUGGAAGCUGGAAUGGGAAGACCCUGGCUCUUGCUCAUCUGACUGGCAGUGGACAGAUGUUGAGAUAUCGCACAGCAAUACUGACCGCUAGGCGUCUUAGAAAGGUUUCGUUCCUAUUUACUUUAGGUUUGUCUCCACAAUAAAAAUGCACUCAGGCCGGUGUUUAGGAACCA